UAGGACAAUAUGUUCAUGCUCAUGUCCCCUGCGUGUGCAGCUCUGUUCCAUCUUUCGAAGCCUCCGAAAUGAAAUGAAACAUUUUGGCUGACUUGGAACGCUGUAUGGAGCCGGCAGAUGUUUUGGUACCACUGAUGGCACAGGAAUGAAGCACAAGAGGAGAAAUUCCGACUAUUGCUGAUGUUGCUCUUUCUACCAUACAAUGAAGUAAAUGGAAAUCUAGGCUGUCGCUCCCUAAUAUCAAGAAAAGAACGUCAAGAACACGGAGUCUGUCAGAUGAGGAUUGAAACUCUAUCUCGGUUCCUUUAUGGGCUGCUAGUCCAGACUUCUCCAGACUGGUAAUGGAUCUCUAAUAGAAUGACAGUUCCAAGUGACCGGAAACGUCAGUAUAUAAUGAACCAACUAAAAAAGGGAAGACCAUCAGAGGUCCAUACAACGGAUAAUCUCGCCUUCCAGUGAGCGGUUUACUCCAGAACUGCUGUGAUCAGAUCAUUGAAUCGGUACUAUUGACUAAGGAAGGAUGUGAGUCCAUUGUAACACAACAAUGAGAAGAUCUUCACUCCAGGAGCUCCAUUUGACUCUCAAUGGAUUUAAGGAACAUCUGGACCGAAGAGUCUGUGGGCGCACAGAAAGCUAUUUUCUCCCGGGUUGCAUUUAAUGCAAGAACACUGUCCAGUGAUGGCUGGAAAACAAACAUGAAUGGAGCUCCAUUUUACAGUAACAGCUCUGCUCUCUCUCCCCGAUGUUCACUAACAAUGAUGACGGUGUCACAAUACAAAGAAACAGCAUUGUUUUAGGCUUCCAGCCUCUUCUACGCUUACAGAAACUGUUUAAAUCACUAUAUUGUAGUAGACAAGCAGUGCCGUGCUACAUCAUCAUCAUUCUAUUCUAUGACGUCACGGGCACACAGUAAAGCUAGCUUUAAAUUCCCAGUCACAUCCUUUGUUCUCAAUAUAUGCUAAUUAAAUAUAUAUGCAUCUAACCCUUACAUCACCUUUUGGCAUUUAAGAUUUUAAUGAAGACAUUUUUUGGCCAAUUUAUAAACCUCAAAAACCGGUUUUAAAGGUUUCUGUGGGAACGCUUUGGUUCCACAAGUGCAAGAAAUUCAGCACACUUCACCUAAGAACACCGUAUGUUAACCAUUUUUCCGCUUGAAUGAGCGUCCAGCUUAUGAAAACACGAAUGUCCACUCCACGAGCGCCUGGUCACGCUGUAAUUAUUGUAAUCUCCUGUAUGCAGCGCGCGCUUCAUUACAGGCGAGCAGUCACAGAGAGAAAACGCGCUCUGUUUGUGUCAAAGCUAAAAAAAAACGGCUGGUGGCCAGUUCACAUUCUGGUUUCGUUGACGUUACUUUUGCAUUCGAGUUUGACAGAAUAUACGCAUCUCCGUUUUUAGUAGUCUCAGCGAGGAGCGCUUUUGAUGUGCCGUGAACGUGGCAGUAACAAAAAUGUUACUGCACUGUGAAAAAAAGUGCCGAUGUUGGGUAUAAUAUCAUAUAAACUAAACAAUCUUUUGUUUUGUGAUGUACGUGUGUUCGCUCACUCGAACCUUGUGCGUAAAGAUUUGAAUGUCUUCUUUGGCACGGUGAACAGUGGUCCGUGGGCAGUUUUUAAACCCGCACACCUCGCGAUUGCCAAGUUAUAUUCAUCGACAGACAGAAACUGCUUUCGACUAUGUCAAAAUCUUUCAUGUUAAACUUUAUCUAUAAACAGUAAAAGGCAACAGUUGGAUGUUCUCCGACUGACUUAAUGAAGGUAUCGAAUAUCUUUUCCUCCCCCAUCGCUUUCACAAUAAACUUGUUUAAAAAACAAGACACCUUUCAGUGGUACAUCAAUUUAUAACGGCACUGAAUGUUGCAAUGAUUGCAUGUUGCA